AGUGGACUUCAUUUUCUCCCCCGUCGGUCUUAGGAAUAACACGGAAAAAUUCAUUAUGUAGUUUGUAUUCCUCCCAAAGCAAUAUCAGAAACAAGAGCUGUGAAUAGUUUUUCCCAGAGGCGAUCCAAGAAGCACGCUGCAAGUUCAGCAGGACAAGGUCCAGGAAUGGAUAGGUUACUGCUGUGGGCAGUGGGGCCCAGUCAGUCCCCCUGGAGGCCCUCUGGGAGAUCACGUAGAACACGCCUGAGAAUUGACCCCCAAUCCUGUCGGCAGGGCAUCAGCUCCUACAUCUUCUGACUUCUCUCAUGGUUCUUUAGAAAACCUCUGCAGGUGAAUUCUGAGGCUUCCAAGGUCUUUGGUCCUCCAAGACACAUCAAAGAGGACUUCCCAUGGGAGUUCCCAUUGUGGCUCAGUGAUAAUGAACCUGACUAGGAUCCAUGAGAAUGCAGGUUCCAUCCCUGGCUUCGCUCAGUGGGUUAAGGAUUCAGUGUUGCUGGCUUGGAUUUGGUGUUCCUGUGGCCGUGGCGUUGGCCAGCAGAUGCAGCUCCGAUAGGACCCCUGGCCUGGGAACUCCCAUAUGCUGCAGAGGCUCCCUCCAUGGAGUGACGGGUAGUCAGGCCGGUCCCACAUCCCACUAAUCCCAGAUGCUGAGGUCUCUCCAUCUUAAACAGCUCUCAGCCUUCUCCUGCCUCCUCCUGCACGCACCUGCCAGCCUGCCUGAUGUUCCGCUCUUCAGUUCUGUAGUCACAGCAAGCCAGCGUUUACCUCCCCGGAAUGGCCCCUACCGAGGUCACCUGGUCCCCAGGACACUCUGUGGCCCUCGCCAUACCUGAGCCCUAUUUAACCCAUCCCAGCCCCACUUCCUCACAACAUGCUCCUCCUUAGUUUCUCUCUUGAGGAAGAGAGAGGACCGGAGACUCUCCUUAGGAGCUUAAUGAAAGACGCAGCCGUGUUGGAGAAGCUCACGUGUCAAGGAAUUGUGGGCAGCCUCUAGAACCCCAGGGGUGCCUGCAGCCAAUGGCCAGCACGGAGCUGGGCCCUCGUGACAGCCAUAGGACGUGAGCUCUGCCAAGAACCUGAAUGAGCUUGGAAGCAGGUUCUUCCCCAGCUGAGCCUCCAGAUGAGGAUGCAGCCUCGAGAGAUCCUGAGCAGAGGACUCAGACUCCUGAACACGGAAACUCUGAGAUCACAAAUGCGUGCUGUUUUAAGCCAUUGCAUUUGUGGUGAUUUGUUAUGCAACACAGAAAAAUAAUGCAGACCGGGUUCAGCUGAUAACGAGUAGCUGAGGAUUGGAGUAUCCUUAAAGGCGUCUGGCUGGUGCUUCUUUCCAGCUCUACCUUGGAACCCAGAGCCCUGAGCAGGGGGGUUGCAAGGGACCGUGCCUGGUGCUUUCUCAUGCAACCUGACCUACCUAAAAUUCUGCUGUGUGACCCAUAGGAAGACAAAUAGCACUGAUGGAUGGAGUCCGGCAUGGCCGUUCCCUGUAGAAUGAGAUGCUAUCAAAGUCCAGAUCGGGCCUCCCUUCCCUCCCCGAACACACUCAGACCCAGUUUUCCAGUGGAAUCUCUAGGGGUGACGUGACUGAGGGGCAGUUUUAACCCCAAUAACCUGGAAGGCAAGGGAGGAAAAGAGACUGGUGUCAAAUUAGUGAUAAAACCAAAUUAGAAAAAAAUUUUAAAAUAAGUUCUUCUUUCUUUUCUUUCUUUCUUUCUUUUCUUUCUUUCUUUCUUUCUUUCUUUCUUUCUUUCUUUCUUUCUUUCUUUCUUUCUUUCCUUCCUUCCUUCCUUCCUUCCUUCCUUCCUUCCUUCCUUCCUUCCUUCCUUCCUUCUUUCUUUCCUUCUUUCCUUCUUUCUUUCGCUUUUUAGGGCCAUACCUGCAGCAUGUGGAGGGUCCCAGGCUAGGGGUCGAAUCGGAGCUACAGCUCCUAGUCUACACCACAGCCACGCUGGAUCUGAGCUGUGUCUGUGACCUACACCACAGCUCAUGGCAGCACUGGAUCCUUAACCCACUGAUCAAGGCCAGGGAUCAAACCCGUGUCCUCAUGGGUACUAGUUGGGUUUGUUACCGCUGAGCCACAAGGAAACGCCUGUCUUGUUGCUUUCAAGUGAUUAAAAGAAGAUGCAACGGUUAAGAAAUUCUUGUUAUACUUGCAGUUGUGAUUAGGUAAGCACACUUUGUAAUUAUCAUAUUAAUUGCCGAUAUUCAAAUGAGAGCUUGAAGGUUUUUGUUUUGUUUUUUUUUAAAGAUGGACAUUCUCACAGUCUUUAUUAGUGUUUUGGGAGCUAGAUAUGGUGCAACAGGAAAUAGCACAGCCCUUGUUUAAAUGGUCACAAACAUCAAAUGAGCUGGAUACAGUGAUGGAAUUUUCACUCUCUGCUCAAAUGGCAGGCCCGAAGCUGAUUUUGCCACCCAAGUGGCUGAAGAGGGAAGGACAUGAUCAUGUUUGUCAACUGAAGCCGCGGGGACAGGGCUUCACCACGGCUCCAUGGAGCUGCCUGCUCCAGUGGAAUUUCAUGUUUUGUCUUUCUCCCCUUGGAAAGCGCUGGAAGAACAGCCCGUAGUCCACGUGAGAUCCUGCAGGACCACAUAGCAUUGGUUAAUCAGAGUCUUUCCAGAGCAUUUGAAAGUGUGAUGCAAAACUCAGGUCAGGAAAUGCUGUCAACUGGAAUUAGGAGGCUGCAUUAUUUGACUAAGACAGGCAAGCAAGGGCCAUUCUGGGUCCUGGGCCUUUGUUUCCUCUCUCUUCUUUCACUGUAAGCCCAGAACCCACAGAGCCACUGAAGAGCACCCAAAAGGCUGUGGUGGAAGAGGAAGCAACAUUUUUGCUUCCAGUAUCCGAGGCAGGAUGCAGGGCCUGGAUGGCAGCUGAGGAGCUUGACACAGAGGAGCAAAAACUCAGGUUUUGCUAAAAUGCACCCCAGGACAGCCUUUCCUUCUAGAAAGUUCUCCUCAGAGGUCAAGGCACUGAGCUGCUGGGAUGCUUAGGUUUGCCCAGAGAAGAGAGGGACGGAAGGCAGGAGAAGGUGGCAGGCCCUCAGCCCAGCCUAGACAGCUUCCAGGGAGGGAGGACAGGGCGCUCGGGUGCAGGCCUGGCUCUCUUACAGAGCCCCGCCUUCGCCGCUAGGCAUUCCCAAGGCCCCCAGCCGCCUCUGCCACAGGUUCUGCAGCUGGAGCUGAGCUCAACAGCACUCAGGGCUGGGUUCCAGUCCACAUGUCACCCUGCAUUCCGGGCCUGCUGUGGCCACCACUGGCUGUGGGCCCUUAGUGGAUCUCUGAGCAGCUCUGGGGUUUCAGGCUUCUCCCCCAUCUGCUGAAUGCAUCUUGUUCCCAUGUGGCCCUGGGUGCAGCCUCACAGGAGAAUCUCCAAUGACCAGAAAGAGGUCUAAUUUUUUUUUUUUCUCCUUUUUUGGCUGCCUUGUCGCAUAUGGAGCUCCCAGGCCAGGGAUCAGAUCACAACCUAAGACACAGCUGCAGCAACGAUGGAUCCUUAACCCACUGAGCCUGUCUGGGGGAUCGAACCUGUGGUCCUGGUGCUCCCAAGACACAGCCUAUCCCCUUGCACCACAGCGGGAACUCUGAAGUCCAAUUUUUCUGUCUUCUAGGAAGGAGGAUUUUCUUGGCUGUAUGUAAAAGACUCUGAAUAACAGCAGCUUGAACAGCACCAAAGUUUCUUUCCCUUUGAUGCCAAAGCCUGGAUGAAGGCACUUCCGGGCAGUGUGAUAGUGCCUGGUCCUCCCUAAACCAGGCUCUCCAGGCAGUCUGAGGGUGUGCUUUUGAGCCUAAGGUCCAAGGUAACGUGGCAAGAAACAACCUCGUGCACAUAUCCUUAAGUCUGCCUUUCUGGAGGAUGCUUGAUCACUGUUGGGAGGAAGAAGAGAAAAGCGAAGACCCGUGUUGAUAAGACAGCACCGUUUCUAGGAAUCCACGUGUUUCAUUCUGUCUGCUCUUGGGGAGGAAAUAAUGGGGGGCAUAUUCCCUCUUGUCUGAGAAGGAGAUGAAGCCCCUGUGUCCUGGGAAGGCUGGAAUGAAGCUUUGUAGGGUGAGGAGAACAGCCUGGGCGCCCCCACGGCAGCACAGGAACCCUCCCAGAUCUGGGCAGACCGCGCGCAGGGCCACAGCCCGGAGGCACAGAACCAGAGGCACAGGAUGGUCAUCCAGCCCACGGAGAGCUCAGCCAUGGACACCGAGGCCUGGGGAGCAUCAGUGACUUGAAGGUUGUGCUGACUCUACUCCAUGCCUUCCUUGGAGCUGCAAGCCCUUGGCCUCCUCAUCCUCUUCUUCUUGGACCAGCCCCAGCCUAUGGUGUUAAAUGGCCCCACACACCUCGGUCCAGCCUUGGCCACCCAUGGAUGGGGCUCAGGGCAGCAGUUUCCACAAAGCCUUGUAACUUGAUUGAGAAUUUGAGCAGCAGCAGCCAGUUCUCCUGAGCCCCGUCCUAGCUGGAAACUCUGGAGGCCUUUGUGUAAAUGCCCCACUAUGGGGUCCAGCUCAAGGGUGGCUCAGACACAGUCUGGAAUGGUCCCUGGUCAUGGGUCAUCCAUGGCAAGCUGGAAGCCAGGCUGAGCACACCCAAAGCCCUGGUUGUAACCCUAAGCGUCCUGAUGACUCACUGGGUGAUUGAUUUCAAAAUCCCCAGUUGCUGGUUGGUGCCAUGUGUCUGAUGGCCCAGAUGCCCUGGACUCUGAGCAGCUGUGUCACAGACAGAAUUUCCCACUGGCCCCUCGUCCCUGUCUUCAAUGAGGUCUCUGAGCCCUGGGCUGCCUCCCUAAACAGUUUUCCAACAUGAGGAUGACAUGCCCAGGACCCUGCAAGGGGAAAGGCUGGGUCUUGGGACUUUUCCCCCGUGGGUGUUCGCAGACUCAAGAUGAAAGGAAGCUCUCCAGCCACUCUGGGAAACAGUAUGGAGUUUCCUUCAAAAAUGAAAAAUUGAUUUACCGUGUGAUCCAGCAAUCCUAUUCCUGGGCAAAUACCCAGACAAAACUCUAAUUCCAAAUGAUACAUACACCCCAAUGUUCAUUGCAGCACUCUAUACAAUAGCCAAGACAUGAAGAAACCUAAAUGUCCAUCAACAGAUGAAUGGAUUAAGAAGAAGUGGUACAUGUAUUCAAUGGAACACUACUCAGCCAUAAAAAAGAAUGAAAUAAAGCCCUGUGCAGCAGCAUGGAUGGACCUAGAGAUUCUCCUACUCAGUGAAGUAAGUCUGACAGAGGAAGACAGAUACUGUAUGAUUUCACUAUGAUAUGUGGAAUCUAAAAUAUGACCCAAAAGGAUAUAUCCACAGGUGUUCCCACUGUGGUGCAAUGGGAUUGGUGGUGUCUUGGGAGUGCUAGGACGUGGGUUUGAUCCCAAGCCCAGCACAGUGGGUUAAGGAGCUGGCAUUGCUGCAGCUGUGGCUUAGGUUGCAGCUGCGGUUCGGAACUGAUCCUUGAGCUGGGAACUCCAUAUAUUAUGGGGCGUCUAAAAAAGAAAAAAAAAAAA
rnacentral:lncRNA from 1 species